GAUGAACGCUGGCGGCGUGCCUAAUACAUGCAAGUCGAGCGAACGGACGAGAAGCUUGCUUCUCUGAUGUUAGCGGCGGACGGGUGAGUAACACGUGGAUAACCUACCUAUAAGACUGGGAUAACUUCGGGAAACCGGAGCUAAUACCGGAUAAUAUUUUGAACCGCAUGGGUCAAAAGUGAAAGACGGUCUUGCUGUCACGUAUAGAUGGAUCCGCGCUGCAUUAGCGAGUUGGUAAGGUAACGGCUUACCAAGGCAACGAGGCGUAGCCGACCUGAGAGGGGGAUCGGCCCCCCUGGAACUUGGCCAGCGUCCCGACUCCUGAGGGAGGCAGCAGUCUGGAAUCUUCCGCAAUGGGCGGAAGCCUGACGGAGCAGCGCCGCGUGAGUGAUGAAGGUCUUCGGAUCGUAAAACUCUCUUAUUAGUUAUGAACAUAUGUGUAAGUAACUGUGCACAUCUUGACGGUACCUAAUCAGAAAGCCCCGGCUAACUACGUG
rnacentral:rRNA from 1 species